AUGCCCUGUGCCUCGCUCGGCCAAAAUUAUCUGUAUUUUGGUCUUGAGCUGGAUGAAUUGCUUCUCUGAACGACGCAUUUCAAUGGGCUAUAUUAAAACAAGACUUCUUGAGUACGAAAUUAUCGCUAAUGCUGCCACGAUAUAUUUUUUGUAAUUAGAAGAUCUGACAUUC
rnacentral:snoRNA from 1 species